UACGUAGGGGGCUAGCGUUGUCCGGAAUCAUUGGGCGUAAAGCGCGUGUAGGCGGUCCGGUAAGUCCGCUGUGAAAGUCGGGGGCUCAACCCUCGAAUGCCGGUGGAUACUGUCGGGCUAGAGUGCGGAAGAGGCGAGUGGAAUUCCUGGUGUAGCGGUGAAAUGCGCAGAUAUCUGCAGGAACACCCGUGGCGAAAGCGGCGCGCUGGACCACUACUGACGCUGAGGAACGAAAGCGUGGGGAGCAAACAGG
rnacentral:rRNA from 1 species